CCUUCUACUUUUUAAGUACCCUCUUCUUCUUGAUAAAUCACUUCUUCAAUGUGAAUUUGAUUAUCUCAUAUAAAAGAAAAUAUCUGAAAAAUUCAAAUUAAAACAAACUAGUAAAAGAUAAUAAAGAGAAAAUUAAAAGAAAAAUAUUCAAAUCAACAAAACUAAUUCUCCAAUAACGGUGCCAAAACUUGUUGUCAUUCUACAAAUAUAUAGAUCGCACAAGUAAUAUAAUAAUCGAGUAGAGUAUCGUUCCCACAGAGAAUUAAUGUUUAAGUACUAGGCUAUGGUUGUAACAAUUAUUUGGACUAAUAAAAUUUAAUACUAAAAUUAGCUAAUUAAGCUAAAAUGUGCAGCAAAUUAAUUAAAAUUAACUAAGAGAUGACAAUUAAGCUAAUUAAUUCUAUACUAGUAAGAGAAAUUAACUACAAAUUAAAAGCAAUUAAACUAAGCAAUGGUAAAUUAACUAGAGAUUAACUAAAAUUAGAAAUUAACAAAGAUUAAAAAUCAAAUAUAAAAAGAUGAUUUGAGAGAUUUGAGAUUCACACUCUAAUUAAUUUGGAUUUUUCUCAAUUUCUAUCAAUUCAUAGGUAUCUAUUGCUUGAAGGAAUUAAUUCCAAAAGUACCUUAAUUCUCUUUCAAUAUAUCAAGGUUGUGCUUUAAUUAAACCAAUUCCUACUUUCAUGGUUCUUGAUUUAAUAAAAAGCCAUUAGGUCCUUUCAAUAAUUUUGAAAUUCUCUCAUACCCUUAAUCAAUUUCUUGAAUCUAAGAAUAUAAGUUUUAAUCCUAAUUUUUCCAUCAUUAAUCUUCAUCUUUCAAUACAUCAAUUAAUGAUUAAAAUAAUACUUUGGUUGACCAAACACAAAGUAAGAGAUUAAAUCACAAGGAAAAGAAUAAAGAUCAAAUACCCAACUCAAAAUUAAAAAUUAGCACAAACCCAUUGAUAGAAAUUAGUUCAAAUCCAAGAUUAAAAUAGAGUAUUACAUACUCAAUCUCUGAAAUUUAAAAUCUACUCCCUAUUCAUAGUAUUUACAAAGAAAAUCUUAAAAUUAAAACAAAGAAAACAUAAAAUUAAUAAAGGAGAAGAAAAACCCAAAUGAAGAACGCUUCAAAUAUUGAUAAUCCAUGCCUAAAGAGCCUCCAUUGGUGAAUUUUCAGCAGCCCCUUUUGUUCUCCACGUGAAAUGAGGAAGAAAAAGGUGAAAAAUGGUGGAAAAUGAGAGAGAGGUGGCUCCUCUUCCCUUUAUUUUUUGGUAUUCUCCCUCCUUAAAACUAAAGAAAAAGACUAUUUAUAUGUCCUAAAAAAAUGCACUAACAGAAUAAAG
rnacentral:lncRNA from 1 species